CCUACGGGCGGCAGCAGUGGGGAAUAUUGCACAAUGGGCGCAAGCCUGAUGCAGCCAUGCCGCGUGUGUGAAGAAGGCCUUCGGGUUGUAAAGCACUUUCAGCGGGGAGGAAGGCGGUGAGGUUAAUAACCUCAUCGAUUGACGUUACCCGCAGAAGAAGCACCGGCUAACUCCGUGCCAGCAGCCGCGGUAAUACGGAGGGUGCAAGCGUUACUCGGAAUUACUGGGCGUAAAGCGCACGCAGGCGGUCUGUCAAGUCGGAUGUGAAAUCCCCGGGCUCAACCUGGGAACUGCAUUCGAAGCUGGCAGGCUAGAGUCUUGUAGAGGGGGGUAGAAUUCCAGGUGUAGCGGUGAAAUGCGUAGAGAUCUGGAGGAAUACCGGUGGCGAAGGCGGCCCCCUGGACAAAGACUGACGCUCAGGUGCGAAAGCGUGGGGAGCAAACAGGAUUAGAUACCCCUGUAGUC
rnacentral:rRNA from 1 species